rnacentral:lncRNA from 1 species
UUCAUUCCAAAUUCAUUUUCCAUUUUUCUUUUUUAUCCAUUCAAGUAACCAGUUAUCCAAUUUCACAUUACAAUUAAUGCAUAAACCAUUUCAUGGCCAUUUUCAUUUACCAUAUUCUUUAUCCAUAAAAAAAACAAGCAGAUGAUGAAUCCACAGAAGAAUGAGACGCAGGUAUGUACGCAAUACAGUACAACUACAUACAAAAGCUCACUAAAGGAAAACGGAAAAUGCGAGCCAUGUGAAACAAAAGCCAAAGUUACCACAAGCCACAAGAAAAAAUAGAGUUGGAAAAUGUAGAAUGCAUGUGCGGUAGCUGCAGGAAACACAACAGCUACAGCUGAAACGCGGCUUAGCUAUAGAACAGCUACAAGCCAAAACCCAAAUCCAUGGUACUAAGCUACAAGCUCACUUCCAAACGAGCCAACGCCCUAAGUUUCAACCAAGUCAAAACGCAAACACGACUCAAA